UAGAGUUUGAUCCUGGCUCAGAAUGAACGCUGGCGGCAUGCCUAACACAUGCAAGUCGAACGAAGGCUUCGGCCUUAGUGGCGCACGGGUGCGUAACGCGUGGGAAUCUGCCCUCAGGUUCGGAAUAACAGCGAGAAAUUGCUGCUAAUACCGGAUGAUAUCGCGAGAUCAAAGAUUUAUCGCCUGAGGAUGAGCCCGCGUAGGAUUAGCUAGUUGGUGUGGUAAAGGCGCACCAAGGCGACGAUCCUUAGCUGGUCUGAGAGGAUGAUCAGCCACACUGGGACUGAGACACGGCCCAGACUCCUACGGGAGGCAGCAGUGGGGAAUAUUGGACAAUGGGCGAAAGCCUGAUCCAGCAAUGCCGCGUGAGUGAUGAAGGCCUUAGGGUUGUAAAGCUCUUUUACCCGGGAUGAUAAUGACAGUACCGGGAGAAUAAGCUCCGGCUAACUCCGUGCCAGCAGCCGCGGUAAUA
rnacentral:rRNA from 1 species